GUGGGGAAUAUUGGACAAUGGGCGAAAGCCUGAUCCAGCCAUGCCGCGUGUGUGAAGAAGGUCUUCGGAUUGUAAAGCACUUUAAGUUGGGAGGAAGGGCAGUAAGUUAAUACCUUGCUGUUUUGACGUUACCGACAGAAUAAGCACCGGCUAACUUCGUGCCAGCAGCCGCGGUAAUACGAAGGGUGCAAGCGUUAAUCGGAAUUACUGGGCGUAAAGCGCGCGUAGGUGGUUUUGUAAGUUGGAGGUGAAAUCCCCGGGCUCAACCUGGGAACUGCCUCCAAAACUGCAUGACUAGAGUACGGUAGAGGGUAGUGGAAUUUCCUGUGUAGCGGUGAAAUGCGUAGAUAUAGGAAGGAACGCCAGUGGCGAAGGCGACUACCUGGACUGAUACUGACACUGAGGUGCGAAAGCGUGGGGAGCAAACAGGAUUAGAUACCCUUGUAGUCC
rnacentral:rRNA from 1 species